GUGAAUCAUCGAAUCUUUGAACGCAUAUUGCACUCUCUGGUAUUCCGGAGAGUAUGCCUGUUUGAGGGUCAUUUAAAAUAAUAUAACUUCCAGAAUUUACCGGAAUUUAAAAUGGGUGGUCCGUUUUUUGUAGUUGCCUAAAAUCAAAAACAAUGUAAUUUUCUGUCGUUCCUUGAUUCUUUG
rnacentral:misc_RNA from 1 species